ACUGGGGACCAUCUGGAGAGGUGGCAGAGCGGUUGAAUGUACCUGACUCGAAAUCAGGCAGGCGUUUAUAGCGCCUCGGGGGUUCGAAUCCCCCCCUCUCCGCCAGAUUCGCAUCAGCCCCCGCAAGGGGGCUUUUG
rnacentral:misc_RNA from 2 species